GCCAUCUUUGAUUUUUGGAGCCAGAAGUGACUAUAUUUGGACGAGAGGGUGGAGUUGGGUGGGUCUGCGGAGUUAGGACGAUUCUAUGGGCCUGUGAUUGACAGAGGCCCUAAAAAUUAUUAAAACAUUAGGUACAUUUUUUACAUUUCAAUAUCAAAUUGUCUUUUUCUUUUCUUGUUUUUGGCAGUAAGUAAACAUCCUGAGAGUAUUGCCUGACCUCCCUCUCUAUUCACACGAAAUGGUUCGGUCCUGCUCCCCAACCAGGCGCGAACGGUACUUGCUAGUAGUGAAUCGCUAGUAAACAGGGGCGGUGGAUCUUCAUGUCUCAGUUUCCUAAAUUAAAAUCUGGCUUCUAAAACCGAAAGGACAGGCAAGGAAGACAAGAAAAAGAAAGGAAAGGACGAGAGUAUGUCACCAAAUUUUCCACAAAGAAAGGCCCAACAGAUGCAGCUUCAGGCUCAGCAGCCCUGUCUCCCCAUCCCAGUCCACCUGCCAAUGAACCAGCCCUCCGCCCAACUGUAGAAGUGGCAGGUAUACAGUAAGAACAGCAUGGGGGAUUAAGCAGGAAAGAGAGAAACGCUUUCUCACAACCCCUACAGAGCAAGGUGGCCUGCACUCCACAUCGAAAUGGAAAAUCGUCUGCACCUGACAGAGCUGGUCUGACAGGAGAGCUGUGUCUCAUUAUAGGUAUUGUCUAACCAUCAUCAUCAUCGCCUUGAGCUACAGCACUGAGCUUCCUGACCCAACUAGCACCUCAGUAUAUCACACCCAGAUCUCAUGAGUCAUGAACUGCUGCAAUGAAAAUGAACUAGACAUCACUACAGGAGCCUUGAAAAGUUGAUUCAGUCUGAAGUCAGAUUCAGAUAGAUUUAAGACUAAUCUGACCAUUUGUAGGAGAUCGACUUGUAAAAGCACUUCCAUGUGAUAGCGCAGCAGCUGGCCUCAUACUGACUGAUGACUGAAUAUUAUAGAACUACUGGAUUUUUAAUGUGUGAUAAAACACAGAUAAUCAGUGUUGCCAGAUUGGGAUUGGGCUACUUUUUUGUUAAUUGGGUGGGUAAAAAUAGUUUUGAGUAGGCUUUGAUCAUAUUGGCUAAGUUUUGUAUCAUUUGGGUGCUUUCCACAGACAAAAAAAUCAGGCUAUAUUCCAAUAAAUCUGCCCCUCUUCUCAUCCGAAAAGAUUUGAGAUUUACUGUGCACACUCAGCAAGCUCAACUCGACAUACAAUGACUGAUAACUGAUGACCAUGAAAACCAAAUGUCAUUUCAGUUCAUUACAACUAAGCUGCAAGUUUUUUCCUAUUUCAAUUAUUAUUCAUAUUCAGUCAUAGUUUUGUAAUAAAACACAAUCUGUUCA